CUGGCUCAGGAUGAACGCUAGCUACAGGCUUAACACAUGCAAGUCGAGGGGCAUCAUGGAGUUGCUUGCAAACUCUGAUGGCGACCGGCGCACGGGUGAGUAACGCGUAUCCAACCUUCCCUAUAGUAGAGGAUAGCCCGGCGAAAGUCGGAUUAAUACUCUAUGUUUUCCGUUGCAGACAUCUAAGAUGGAACAAAGGCUUGCCGCUAUAGGAUGGGGAUGCGUCUGAUUAGGUAGUCGGCGGGGUAACGGCCCACCGAGCCAUCGAUCAGUAGGGGUUCUGAGAGGAAGGUCCCCCACAUUGGAACUGAGACACGGUCCAAACUCCUACGGGAGGCAGCAGUGAGGAAUAUUGGUUAAUGGGCGAGAGCCUGAACCAGCCAAGUAGCCGUGCAGGACGACGGCCCUAUGGGUUGUAAACUGCUUUUAUGCGGGGAUAAAGUUCACUACGUGUAGUGUUUUGUAGGUACCGCAUGAAUAAGGACCGGCUAAUUCCGUGCCAGCCGCUGC
rnacentral:rRNA from 1 species